GUUGGUGAUCUGCUACAAGUAUAAUCUAAAGAACCAACGCCUACUUUCGGGAAGCAUCGAUGAAGACUGACCUCCGCUGCUGCGUUGUUGCAACCUCUCUGACGUCAACAUGAAUCCAAACAGCUGCGAGAACAAAAUGGAUGUCUUCAUUCAUGAAAUGGAACCUUAAAAAUCAGAAUACAAGAUCAGAGUUCGUAUAUCGAGAGUGUGGAGAGCAAAGCAAUAUAAUACUAACAAGAAUGAUGGUCUCCACUCUGUCUUGAUUGAUGAAAAGGGUGACGCUAUUCAAUUAUUCAUGCAAUUAUCAGUGAAUCUGACUACCCUUUAGUUCACAAAAAAAAUACAACAAGGCAAGGUUUAUGACAUUCACAAUUUCUUUACACGAAAAAACCAGGAAAACUACAAGAUUCUUGAUCAUCGGAGUCAAGUCCGUUUCAAUGCACUGACUGUCUUUGAAGCAGUUGAAGGAAACUGCCCAAAAAUUCCAGAGCAUCGAUUCUAUUUAGUAGAAUUUGAUCAACUCGAAGCACGCAUGAAUGAUCAUACAAUUCUAACAGAUGUGUAUGGCUGUUUGAAGUCGAUUGUACCACCACAUGAGACAACUGUGAACUGUCAAGGAUAGAGAGUCAAAAUGUGAAAGACAAGAGUCAAAAUGUGAAAUCCAUUUGCAGAACUUAAGAAGAGAGGACUUGAGAAUUACACUCUGGGGCAACACUGCUAGACAAGUCGACAUGGAAACAAUUAGAAAAGCUUCUCCACCAGUGCUGAUGGCAUUAACCAGUUUAAAAAUCAAAGAGUACUUGAGUAAGUGUCCUUCAAAAAUUCAUCAAUUAUUUCAACAUGACUAACAACUAUAUAUAACUAAUUAUUUUUGUAACUAGCAGACAAACCUGCCCCAUCAAAUACAAGCAACACCUGUAUUUUCAUCAAUCCAAAGAUCCCAGAAACAAACAAGCACAGGCUUCAGUUCUCAAAACUGGUUGAUAGAGUGCAAAUACUUCCAACACCAUUCAAACAACCAACAUCAGAAGAAAUCUAGGAAACCAAUAUGAAAACAGUGACUCGAUUGAACAUAUUGGAUCCAUUGUCAUACAAGGAACAAAUGGUGUAUUGCAAUGCUUCAAUUUCCAGAUUUGCAACACACGACGGUUGGUGGUAUAAAGCCUCGCUGUUAUCGAGAAUUAAGAGAACAAGAACAUGACAAUCAACUUGGCUGCUCACAUCAUGGGAAGCAAGAAAUUCUUGUUUCAGAGUCUACAUGACUAUCACAGAUGGUCAAAAUGAGGCAACGGUUAUCAUAAUGGGAAAAUAAGCAGAGAAACUGUUUGGAAGUAAUUGCAAAGAUUUGGUCAGCAAAAGAUCCUACCCAACAGAAGCAACAUUACCAGAGGAGAUGGAGAAAACAAGAGGCUAAAAAUUCUUUUUCAGCUCAAGAUAACGGAAGAUAGUGAGCUAUUAAUCAAAGCAGUCUUCCCACAUAUGGAAUCCUCUGUACCACCUUUUGAAAACGACCCAGCAACUAUGACUCCAGAUCCUGUUCCUUUUCAAAGAAAGAGAGUUGCUGAGACAAGUAAAAGAGGAUUAUUCAUAUCUGAACCAGACAAGAAAUCUAGAAG
rnacentral:lncRNA from 1 species